GAUGGACGCUGGCGGCGUGCCUAAUACAUGCAAGUCGAGCGAACAGACGAGGAGCUUGCUCCUCUGACGUUAGCGGCGGACGGGUGAGUAACACGUGGAUAACCUACCUAUAAGACUGGGAUAACUUCGGGAAACCGGAGCUAAUACCGGAUAAUAUAUUGAACCGCAUGGUUCAAUAGUUAAAGACGGUUUUGCUGUCACUUAUAGCUGGAUCCGCGCCGCAUUAGCUAGUUGGUAAGGUAACGGCUUACCAAGGCAACGAUGCGUAGCCGACCUGAGAGGGUGAUCGGCCACACUGGAACUGAGACACGGUCCAGACUCCUACGGGAGGCAGCAGUAGGGAAUCUUCCGCAAUGGGCGAAAGCCUGACGGAGCAACGCCGCGUGAGUGAUGAAGGUCUUCGGAUCGUAAAACUCUGUUAUUAGGGAAGAACAAAUGUGUAAGUAACUAUGCACGUCUUGACGGUACCUAAUCAGAAAGCCACGGCUAACUACGUG
rnacentral:rRNA from 1 species